rnacentral:rRNA from 1 species
AGAGCGAACGCUGGCGGCAGGCCUAACGCAUGCAAGUCGAGCGCCCGUAGCAAUACGGGAGCGGCAGACGGGAUAGUAACACGUGGGAACGCGCCCUUCGGUUCGGAAUAACUCAGGGAAACUUGAGCUAAUACCGGAUACGCCCUUACGGGGAAAGAUUUAUUGCCGAAGGAACGGCCCGCGUCCGAUUAGCUAGUUGGUGAGGUAAUGGCUCACCAAGGCGACGAUCGGUAGCUGGUCUGAGAGGAUGACCAGCAUCACUGGGACUGAGACACGGCCCAGACUCCUACGGGAGGCAGCAGUGGGGAAUAUGGACAAUGGGCGCAAGCCUGAUCCAGCCAUGCCGCGUGGAUGAUGAAGGCCUUAGGGUUGUAAAGUCCUUUUAACGGGAAGAUAAUGACGGUACCGUAGAAUAAGCCCCGGCUAACGUUCGUGCCAGCAGCCGC